rnacentral:rRNA from 1 species
UACGAAGGGGGCUAGCGUUGCUCGGAAUUACUGGGCGUAAAGGACGCGUAGGCGGACGUUUAAGUCGGGGGUGAAAGCCCGGGGCUCAACCUCGGAAUUGCCUUCGAUACUGGACGUCUUGAGUACGGGAGAGGUGAGUGGAACUCCGAGUGUAGAGGUGAAAUUCGUAGAUAUUCGCAAGAACACCAGUGGCGAAGGCGGCUCACUGGCCCGAUACUGACGCUGAGGCACGAAAGCGUGGGGAGCAAACAGG